GACGAACGCUGGCGGUGUGCUUAACACAUGCAAGUCGAACGGAAAGGCCCUGCUUUUGUGGGGUGCUCGAGUGGCGAACGGGUGAGUAACACGUGAGUAACCUGCCCUUGACUUUGGGAUAACUUCAGGAAACUGGGGCUAAUACCGGAUAGGAGCUCCUGCUGCAUGGUGGGGGUUGGAAAGUUUCGGCGGUUGGGGAUGGACUCGCGGCUUAUCAGCUUGUUGGUGGGGUAGUGGCUUACCAAGGCUUUGACGGGUAGCCGGCCUGAGAGGGUGACCGGCCACAUUGGGACUGAGAUACGGCCCAGACUCCUACGGGAGGCAGCAGUGGGGAAUAUUGCACAAUGGGCGGAAGCCUGAUGCAGCAACGCCGCGUGCGGGAUGGCGGCCUUCGGGUUGUAAACCGCUUUCGCCUGUGACGAAGCGUGAGUGACGGUAAUGGGUAAAGAAGCACCGGCUAACUACGUG
rnacentral:rRNA from 1 species